GACGAGCGCUGGCGGCGUGCUUAACACAUGCAAGUCGAACGGUGAAGGGACUGGUUUUGCUGGUCCUGGAUGAGUGGCGAACGGGUGAGUAACACGUGAGUAACCUGCCCCCUUCUUCUGGAUAACCGCAUGAAAGUGUGUCUAAUACGGGAUAUUCUGGGUCUGUCGCAUGGUGGGCCUGGGAAAGAUUGCGCCUUUUUUGGUGUUUUUGGUGGGGGAUGGGCUCGCGGCCUAUCAGCUUGUUGGGGGGGUGAUGGCCUACCAAGGCGGUGACGGGUAGCCGGCCUGAGAGGGUGGACGGUCACAAUGGGACUGAGACACGGCCCAGACUCCUACGGGAGGCAGCAGUGGGGAAUAUUGCACAAUGGGCGCAAGCCUGAUGCAGCGACGCCGCGUGAGGGAUGGAGGCCCUCGGGGUGUGAACCUCUUUCGCCAGUGAAGCAGGCCUGCCUCUUUUUGUGGGUGGGUUGACGGUAGCUGGAUAAGAAGCGCCGGCUAACUACGUG
rnacentral:rRNA from 1 species